rnacentral:rRNA from 1 species
UAUACUUUUAAUGUCGAAUCGGGAUUCACUAAGACAGAAAUAAAGCAUUGGGUCCUCUUCUUUGGUGUUAAGGUGGUAGCUGUGAAUAGCCAUCGACUACCUGGAAAAGGUAGAAGAAUAGGACCUAUUCUGGGCCAUACAAUGCAUUACAGACGUAUGAUCAUUACCCUUCAACCGGGUUAUUCUAUUCCACUUCUAGAUAGAGAAAAAAACUAA